UUAGUUAGGUUAAUUCACAAUGAAAAGGAAAAACACAAAUACUUUAAUAUAAUUCAUGACACUAAUGAAAAAGACGCAGUACCCUGUGUCCACGGUGAAAGAAGUGAUAAAAACAUAGAACAAAUAGACAUUUUUACCACUGAUAAACUUAAUACAAAUGCGACACAAUUAAUUGAUAUUCAACAAGAAGUAAUUUUAAUAUAUUUUUUUCUUUCUUCUUCUAUUUCUUAUAUGUUUGUGUUUUAUUCAAUUAUAUUUAAAAAAAAAAAUUUCAUAUAAACAUGUUAUACAUCGUAAUAUGUAACGAAUCUACCUUUUUUUUUUUUUUUUUUACCUUUUUUUUAUUUAGGUUAUGAACAAAUGUGUAGACAUCAACCCCAUAUCGUUACUCAGUGAAUACCUUGUAGAAGAAUACAAUAAUAAAAAUAGAAAAAUUAAAAAUUAAAAGAAACA
ensembl:lncRNA